GACGAAGGAUGCAAGCGUUAUCCGGAUUCAUUGGGUUCAAAGGGAGCGUAGGUGGCCUUAUAAGUCAGUGGUGAAAUCUCUGGGCUUAACCCAGAAAUUGCCAUUGAUACUGUAGGGCUUGAGUAUAGAUGCCGUUGGCGGAAUAUGACAUGUAGUGGUGAAAUACAUAGAGAUGUCAUAGAACACCGAUUGCGAAGGCAGCUAACGAAACUAUAACUGACACUGAGGCUCGAAAGUGUGGGGAUCAAACAGG
rnacentral:rRNA from 1 species